GAUGAACGCUGGCUACAGGCUUAACACAUGCAAGUCGAGGGGAAACGGCAUUGAGUGCUUGCACUGAAUGGACGUCGACCGGCGCACGGGUGAGUAACGCGUAUCCAACCUUCCCGUUACUGCGGGAUGGCCUGCCGAAAGGCAGACUAAUACCGCAUGUUCUUCGAUGACGGCAUCAGAUUCGAAGCAAAGAUCCGUCGGUAACGGAGGGGGAUGCGUCUGAUUAGCUAGUUGGCGGGGCGACGGCCCACCAAGGCGACGAUCAGUAGGGGUUCUGAGAGGAAGGUCCCACACAUUGGAACUGAGACACGGUCCAAACUCCUGCGGGAGGCAGCAGUGAGGAAUAUUGGUCAAUGGGCGGAAGCCUGAACCAGCCAAGUAGCGUGCAGGAUGACGGCCCUACGGGUUGUAAACUGCUUUUAUGCGGGGAUAAAGUGAGGGACGCGUCCCUUUUUGCAGGUACCGCAUGAAUAAGGACCGGCUAAUUCCGCG
rnacentral:rRNA from 1 species